rnacentral:rRNA from 1 species
UACGAAGGGGGCUAGCGUUGCUCGGAAUUACUGGGCGUAAAGGGCGCGUAGGCGGACAGUUUAGUCAGAGGUAAAAGCCCAGGGCUCAACCUUGGAACUGCCUUUGAUACUGGCUGUCUUGAGUUCGGGAGAGGUGAGUGGAAUGCCGAGUGUAGAGGUGAAAUUCGUAGAUAUUCGGCGGAACACCAGUGGCGAAGGCGACUCACUGGCCCGAUACUGACGCUGAGGCGCGAAGGCGUGGGGAGCGAACGGG